rnacentral:tRNA from 1 species
UAGAUGGCACCAGUCANGUGACCAUCGAAUGCAAUACGCCGCAUAGAUGCUUUGCAUCAUGACGGUAUGGCGAGACCCGCCGUCCACGUUUCUCUUUCUCACAAGGAUACGAAUCACGCCGCAUCAUGUUGCGUGCUUAACGAAUGGGCCCGUAGCUCAGGUGGUUAGAGCGCACGCCUGAUAAGCGUGAGGUCGGCAGUUCGAGUCUGCCCGGGCCCACCAUUCGCUUAACGCUCAUGGUGACCCCGGCCAGUCUCUCUAGUUUGUUUGUCCUCGCGAUCUUCGAUCGCUGCGGGCAAACGGGCCGGGCCCUUCGGAGCGAUCCGGAGUGCAUCGAAGAUGGGGCUGUAGCUCAGCUGGGAGAGCACCUGCUUUGCAAGCAGGGGGUCAGCGGUUCGAUCCCGCUCAGCUCCACCAUUUUUGGAACUGGGGCGCCGGACGACCGGCGACGGCCUUUGGCCUUGCGAAGCUUUGCUUCGUUGGAGUGCCAAAGCGUGGGUUGGAUAUCCUUGGAGAAAAAAUAGGUUUGCAUCGUCUCCAUCGUGAGACGGAUGCCUGUUCUGCUUACAUUGUGAAGAGAAGAUAUGUCUGGAAGCUUCCAGGUGUUGAUGGUGAUCGAAAGGUUGCCUGAGACGUCCGAGCCCAGUCCCGAAGAAGCCAUGGAUGGUCUAGCCGACCGGAAGUGGAAGAGGGUCUGGAGGUAGGAAGGAAGUCUUGUCGUCAGGCAUGAUCGUUGUUGGGGUGUUCUUCGGAGCGCGCCUCUGACGGUCGUGUCGGAUUGGUGUUGCCUGACCGCGCAUCACCGGACAGAUCUCGAGAAGCUGGUCUUAAGAUAUGGCCUCGAAGUCGCUCGGCGUGACUUUUGUGAGGACCAUAUCGAACACGUCGAUGGCAUUGUUAGAAAGCGCGAUUGUAAAAGGUAAUCGCGCAUAGCUGGUCUGGAGAUUGCAAGGUUUCCGGAUUUUGGUUGCUGCGGCAUACGAAAGUUGCCCGGAUGGCCAGAUUUGGCACCCCUUCGAGCGCAAGCGAGGAGGAUAGGUUUGCCAAAUCCAGCAAAGGCGAUGAGCAUUGGCAAUGAGAACGAUCAAGUGAAAGAAGGGCAUUUGGUGGAUGCCUUGGCAUGCACAGGCGAUGAAGGACGUGAUACGCUGCGAAAAGCCGUGGGGAGCUGCGAAUGAGCUUUGAUCCAUGGAUCUCCGAAUGGGGCAACCCACCUUAGAUGCUUGGAAAAUCAUUUUGGUUGGCAUCUGGUAUCGAAGCCUUGAGGCUUCGCAAGGCCAGAGGCCGUCGCCGGUUAUCCGGCGUCAAGAAACCAAAGUGGUUUCCAAGCAUUGUUGAAAGGUAUCUUAUCCUGAAUUCAAUAGGGAUAAGAAGCGAACGCAGGGAACUGAAACAUCUAAGUACCUGCAGGAAAGGAC